rnacentral:lncRNA from 1 species
GAAAAGAAGAACAGAAGGAAAAGAGAGGAGGAAAAAGAAAGAAAAGAAGAACAGAAGGAAAGAAGCCAGAAGACAAGCCGCUGUAUUUUCUGUUCAAGUUUAGGCGGGUUUUCAUUGUUGGGGUCCAUCUGGCGCCGAUUCAGCCGGUGUAAUUUCACUGGAGAAUUUCUAUACGGAAAAAUAGAAGAGAUGGUAUCAUCAUAAAGU